UACGUAGGCAGCAAGCGUUGUUCGGAGUUACUGGGCGUAAAGGGCGCGUAGGCGGAUCUUUAAGUCGGGGGUGAAAGCCCAGGGCUCAACCCUGGAAUGGCCUUCGAUACUGGAGAUCUUGAGACCGGAAGAGGUAAGUGGAACUGCGAGUGUAGAGGUGAAAUUCGUAGAUAUUCGCAAGAACACCAGUGGCGAAGGCGGCUUACUGGUCCGGUUCUGACGCUGAGGCGCGAAAGCGUGGGGAGCAAACAGG
rnacentral:rRNA from 1 species